rnacentral:rRNA from 1 species
UGGGGAAUUUUGGACAAUGGGGGCAACCCUGAUCCAGCCAUGCCGCGUGAGUGAAGAAGGCCUUCGGGUUGUAAAGCUCUUUCGGACGGAACGAAAUGGUUACGGAUAAUACCUGUGACUGAUGACGGUACUGUAAGAAGAAGCACCGGCUAACUACGUGCCAGCAGCCGCGGUAAUACGUAGGGUGCGAGCGUUAAUCGGAAUUACUGGGCGUAAAGCGUGCGCAGGCGGUUCGCCAAGUCAGGUGUGAAAUCCCCGGGCUUAACCUGGGAAUUGCGCUUGAAACUAGCGGGCUUGAGUGUGGCAGAGGGGGGUGGAAUUCCACGUGUAGCAGUGAAAUGCGUAGAGAUGUGGAGGAACACCGAUGGCGAAGGCAGCCCCCUGGGUCAACACUGACGCUCAUGCACGAAAGCGUGGGGAGCAAACAGGAUUAGAUACCCACGUAGUCCCUGAGCGGGCUGGCAAGGCGCAU